rnacentral:rRNA from 1 species
UACGAAGGGGGCUAGCGUUGCUCGGAAUUACUGGGCGUAAAGGGCGCGUAGGCGGAUAGUUUAGUCAGAGGUAAAAGCCCAGGGCUCAACCUUGGAACUGCCUUUGAUACUGGCUAUCUUGAGUUCGGGAGAGGUGAGUGGAAUGCCGAGUGUAGAGGUGAAAUUCGUAGAUAUUCGGCGGAACACCAGUGGCGAAGGCGACUCACUGGCCCGAUACUGACGCUGAGGCGCGAAAGCGUGGGGAGCAAACGGG